rnacentral:rRNA from 1 species
AUCCUGGCUUAGGAUGAACGCUAGCGACAGGCUUAACACAUGCAAGUCGAGGGCAGCAUAAAAGUAGCAAUACUUGGUGGCGACCGGCGCACGGGUGAGUAACGCGUAUGCAACCUACCUAUCAGAGGGGAAUAACCCGGCGAAAGUCGGACUAAUACCGCAUAAAACAGGGGCACCGCAUGGUGAUAUUUGUUAAAGAAAUUCGCUGAUAGAUGGGCAUGCGUUCCAUUAGGUAGUUGGUGAGGUAACGGCUCACCAAGCCGACGAUGGAUAGGGGAACUGAGAGGUUGGUCCCCCACACUGGUACUGAGACACGGACCAGACUCCUACGGGAGGCAGCAGUGAGGAAUAUUGGUCAAUGGGCGGGAGCCUGAACCAGCCAAGUCGCCGUGAAGGAAGAAGGAUCUAUGGUUCGUAAACUUCUUUUGCAGGGGAAUAAAGUGCAGGACGUGUCCUGUUUUGUAUGUACCCUGAGAAUAAGGAUCGGCUAACUCCGUGCCAGCCGCCGC